GGGCCCAUAGCUCAGCCUGGUAGAGCGACUGGCUCUUAACCAGUAGGUCCCGGGUUCGAAUCCCGUUGGGCCCA
rnacentral:tRNA from 1 species